AUUGAACGGUGGCAGCGUGCUUAACACAUGCAAGUCGAUCGGUAACAGGUGUAGCAAUACAUCCUGACGAACGGCGGACGGGGGAGGAAUAUUUGGGAAUCUGCCCAUCAGCGGGGGACAACCCGGGGAAACCCGGGCUAAUACCGCAUACGUUCUACGGAGGAGAGCCGGGCAGCGCCAGGCCUGGCACCGAUGGAUGAGCCCAAGUCGGAUUAGCUAGUUGGCGGGGUAACGGCCCACCACGGCGACGAUCCGAAGCUGGUCUGAGAGGACGAUCAGCCACGCCGGAACUGAGACACGGGCCGGACUCCUACGGGAGGCAGCAGUGGGGAAUAUUGGACAAUGGGGGGAACCCUGAUCCAGCGACGCCCCGUGGGUGAAGAAGGCCUGCGGGUUGUAAAGCCCUUUCGGUAGGGACGAAAGCUCUUGUUCUAAUAAUGCAAGAGGUUGACUUAACCUACAUAAGAAGCACCGGCUAACUCUGUGCCAGCCGCCGCAGUAA
rnacentral:rRNA from 1 species